GAAUGUCUGUCUUAUCCUUGCAUGAACAACGGGUCAUGUGUAGAUGUAUUUGGAUCCUUCUUCUGUGAAUGUAUCAAUGACUGGGGUGGACCGCUUUGUGAAAUUGAUUUAUGCAAAACAAUACAAGCUCAGAUAGUUUUUGCAGUCGAUUCCUCCUUUAGCACUACGGAAUCAGUCUUGAAAGAGCAAGUCCAGUUUAUUUCCAAUGUAAUUAAAAGGAUAACGGUUUCUGAAGAAAAUUUGACAUUGCACUUGUAUCUUAUGGAACUGAUGCACAAGUAUAUAUUCCUUUUGGCGCAUAUAAUAAAAGCAUUGAAUUACUCAACCAAGUAUCAACAUUUCCUUUAUAAACGGAACAACUGAUAUUUUUAAAGCGUGUCAGAAAGUAAAGAAGAUUUUGUCUAAGAAACUCUACACUUCGCAGUUCGUCUUAUUUCUCACUGAUGGAAUGCCUAGUAGCUUGCAAUUAGCUUUCAGUGCUAUGAAAUCAUUGCGUUACCAGAUACAAGCCACCAUGCCAUGGAAUGACGUCAUUCUUGUUGAAGUUGGUGAAGAUAUACAUCAUGAAAGUCUACGUAGGUUAUCCUCGAAUGGCGAUGUCAAAAAUGUGUUCAGUCAUGUAAACAUGGACGCAUUGUUUUAUAUUUUUACGAAACUGGUAAACGCCAAGUGCUCUGCAUGCAAGCAACAAAGGUCAAUUGAUCUCAUUCUGGCUCUUGAUACAUCUUCAGCACAGCAUAAAACUACCUUCACCUCUGGUCUUUCAAUUUUCAAAACCAUUUUACAAAAACUUCAUCAGAAUUUCGUCCUUGGUGAAAAUAACUUGCAAAUCGGUGCCGUCCAUAUUUCUUCAGAACCAGUGCUCAUGAUUAGGCUGAACCAAUCGCAAGAUUUAAAC